rnacentral:lncRNA from 1 species
CCAAGUCAGCUUGGAACAGACGUGGCCCUGACCCUGCCCUCCAUGACCUACCCACCUGGCUAAGUGGUCGUCAAGGCCCAUGUGGAUGUUGCUCUAACUGAAAGGCCCCUGUAGUGGGAGCCCCAGGCCAGAUGCUGGGCCGUGAGGUCUACGAUGUCCGAUGUCCUGCGUUGUGCUACCUGCAUGCUCGCUCCUGGGAGUCUCGGAGCCUCUGUACUCCUGACGCCUACUCUGUCUUGUUUCCUUUUAAGCCUUCAAGGUGACAUCAGGAGCCCCUGGCCCCAGGGGUCACCCCAGACUCACCAGGCCAACUGCCUGCAGCAUGCUGGCAGCUUCCAGAGACCUUUUACCAACCUUGCCUUGGUGACAUGCUUGGUAGUUCCAAGGCGGUCUGUGGCUGUGGAGGGCCCUGGGCCA